UACGUAGGGGGCAAGCGUUGUCCGGAAUCAUUGGGCGUAAAGAGCGUGUAGGCGGCCUGGUAAGUCCGCUGUGAAAGUCCAGGGCUCAACCCUGGAAUGCCGGUGGAAACUGUCAGGCUCGAGUCCGGAAGAGGCGAGUGGAAUUCCUGGUGUAGCGGUGAAAUGCGCAGAUAUCAGGAGGAACACCAAUGGCGAAGGCAGCUCGCUGGACGGUACUGACGCUGAGACGCGAAGCGUGGGAGCAACAG
rnacentral:rRNA from 1 species